GACGAACGCUGGCGGCGUGCUUAACACAUGCAAGUCGAACGGAAAGGCCCUGCUUUUGUUGGUUGCUCGAUUGGCGAACGGGUGAGUAACACGUGAGUAACCUGCCCUUGACUUUGUGAUAACUUCAGGAAACUGGGGCUAAUACCGGAUAGGAGCUCCUGCUGCAUGGUGGUGGUUGGAAAGUUUCGGCGGUUGGGGAUGGACUCGCGGCUUAUCAGCUUGUUUGUGUGGUAGGUGCUUACCAAGGGUUUGACGGGUAGCCGGCCUGAGAGGGUGACCGGCCACCUUGGGACUGAGGUACGGACCAGAAUGGUACGGGAGGCAGCAGGGGGGAAUAUUGCACAGUGGGCGGAAGCGUGAUGCAGAGACGCCGCGUGCGGGAUGACGGGCUUUGGGUUGUAAACAGCUUUCGACUGUGACGAAGCGUGAGUGACGGUAAUGGGUAAAGAAGCCACGGCUAACUACGUG
rnacentral:rRNA from 1 species